UCUCCUGGAGAACUUUUUACUAAAAGCGUUAAAGUCGUUUUUAAAUCUCACUUUCCCCGAAAAGCCCACUACUCCAAACAUCUCUGCUCCCAGCCUGCCCCCACCUGGUCCCUCCCCUGGAGCCCCAAGGCUCAGGCAGCGCUGGGUCUGCCCACCUCCCUGCCUCCCUCUGAUUGGCUAAUUUUCCCUUCUCUUCCUAACGCUGCUUUCGCCUGUUGGGUUUGUUGGGCUCCCAGUCCUCCUGCCUCAGUUACAAAAAAAGACCAAAGUGCCCUGGAAAGAUGAACCAUCCUAUAGAGAACAGCAGUCCUGGAGAAUGACUGUGUCUGCCGUGGACUUUUUGCAUGAAAGAAGAAAUGCAGCCUUCCUGGGACCACCAUGCUGUGAGAAUGUCAGGCUGCAUGACAGGCCCUGGAGGAUACGACACUACCUGGGAAGAAAGAAACCAAGGAAUGUUAAAUGUGCCGGACAUUUGAGUACAAAGUCCUUUGGGUAGUGGGUCCUCCGUCUAGAACAGAGAUAAACCAUUCAGCCAAGCCCUCCACACAUUCCUCACCUGCAAAAUCAUGAGCAAAAUAAAAGGUGGUUUUAAACCAUUCAGUAUUGGGGCAUUUUGUUUCCUAGCUACAGAUCACCAGAACGCUGAAUAAUAAAUAUUUUACAGUGACCAACAAUUGUUUUUUGUUUUUUUUUUUAAUUUUUUUUUAACGUUUAUUUAUUUUUGAGACAGAGAGAGACAGAGCAUGAACAGGGGAGGGGCAGAGAGAGAGGGAGACACAGAAUCCGAAACAGGCUCCAGGCUCUGAGCUGUCAGCACAGAGCCCGACGCGGGGCUCGAACUCACGGAUGGUGAGAUCAUGACCUGAGCCGAAGUCGGCUGCCCAACCGACCAAGCCACCCAGGCGCCCCAACAAUUGUU